ACUCAAAGGAAUUGACGGGGACCCGCACAAGCAGCGGAGCAUGUGGUUUAAUUCGAAGCAACGCGAAGAACCUUACCAGGGCUUGACAUCCCCCUGACAGCUACUUAAACGUAGCCUCCUACGGGCAGGGGAGACAGGUGGUGCAUGGUUGUCGUCAGCUCGUGUCGUGAGAUGUUGGGUUAAGUCCCGCAACGAGCGCAACCCUUGUCAUUAGUUGCCAUCAUUAAGUUGGGCACUCUAGUGAGACUGCCGGGGAUAACUCGGAGGAAGGUGGGGAUGACGUCAAAUCAUCAUGCCCCUUAUGUCCUGGGCUACACACGUGCUACAAUGGCCGGUACAACGAGAAGCGAAGGGGCGACCCGGAGCAAACCUCAAAAACCGGCCCCAGUUCGGAUUGCAGGCUGAAACCCGCCUGCAUGAAGCCGGAGUUGCUAGUAAUCGCGGAUCAGAAUGCCGCGGUGAAUGCGUUCCCGGGUCUUGUACACACCGCCCGU
rnacentral:rRNA from 1 species